rnacentral:lncRNA from 1 species
ACUGUGGCUUUCCAUUCUGAGCCUGAAGACAAAGAUGAGGCCUGAAGCAGGAGUCCAGUGCAGUUAUUUGUAAACAUGGGGCCAGGGAUAUGAGAGAGCAUCCUCCCAGGAAGGCUAAAGGCCCUUCUUAAUAGGCCCACCCUUAUUCCUACAAAUACUCUAGUUAACAGGAAUCUAAAAGAAAGCACAAAGCAGAAGGUGUCUCCACUCCAACCUGACAUCUUCCAACCUGCUACCAUGGAUCCAACAAAUGUUGCAGUGCAGCAUGGGAUACUCCCACAUAAACCCCACCCAGCCCCUCAGCCAGCCACACACCCAGAGAAGACACUGCCAUGCUCACAUGCAAAUUCUUGUUCCCCCAAAUCACUCCAUAAAAUGUUGUCAUCCCCAUCCAUUGGCAGUUACGGUGGCAGAAGCCCAAAGGCGGCCCACAGAGGCACUUUCAGAUACACAUGCCUGACUGAGGCAGAAGAGUCAUGGCAACCCAAGGCAACACAGGCUGGCAAUAUUCAUUCCUAUGGAAUGCGAUGGUGGAAGAGUCAGACAUCUCUCCUCCUCGACUAGUCUGUGAUGUUCUACCAGCCAGAGGGAGAGUGCUUCUCCCCCAACAUGCAAAGAUCAUGGAUAUCUCUCACUCAACUUGUCUCUCUCUGCUUCCACAAAGACUGAAGAAGAGCAAGAAUUAAGAUGCAGGAGCCCAAUUCAAUGUAGCAUUGGGGCUCCGAGUAUAGGGAACAGCUUUCCCUGGAGGGCAAUAAACACUUCAUCACCACCCA